GUAGAACUCAAUUUGGUAUUCAGUUUCUGUUGCUGUAAGCAACCAUGUUUACAGCAUAGUAAAUAAGAAAAAAAUUAUAUUCAGCAACGGAUUCGUUUCGACGCAGCUAGUUUUGAUAGAUUUAUCAAAGGCCAAGUUGGCACUAUCACCGAAUAAUUUUGCCUGGUGGAGCAGCAAGUUCGACGUGUCUUGGUAGAAGAGAUUAGUGAAAAGUUUGCCCCGGAUCGUCCAUGACUAUCUGGACAUACACAGAGGUCAACUAUUCGCAGCAUGAUAACGAGUCAGCGCAGAGCGAGACAUAUAAGGAGUUUUGUCUAAUUGUUUUGUACAAUUGUCGUACUUCAUUUGUGGAAGGUACGUUAGACUACUGAGAGAGCGUGGUCGAAAUGGUUAGUCAAGUUGAAUGAAUAGCGUGCAUCAAACAUUAAAUGUCAGCAAGGAAUAGAGACACCAAAACUGAACGUUAGAUUGGAGGACCUAGACGGCUGAACCUACCGGCCCGAAGCUUAGCAUGGAACGGCAAUCCAACUCGUAGAAGAAGCACGUAAAAUAGCUAAGAAUGAGUGCAAAAAUGCUAAUCCCGCAGCGGCUUAGGCUGCGCUACUAGGUAUACCAAGAAUUGAGUUUUACAUAAGCCUCGAUGCAAGCCCAGGUUUACCGAUAUAUUAAUGCCAUCAGAAAAAAAAUCUGCUAAAGGAUAAACGUAACCAUGAAAUAAUUACAUAUACUGAUUAAUUAAAGAAAAAUGAUUUUGGAGCCGUCGUUUGUUCUUUUGAGCAGAGCUUUCUUUAAUUUCAUUAACAAGUACGCAACAAUGAAGCCGGUAGUGGUCUUUCGCGAAAAUUUCAGAAUCGAGGCUAACUUGCGGCUAAUAUUUCACCCUAGAAUCAUGUGGAACUUUCUAGCCAUGUAUUAGGUUUUCAAUGUACGGAAAUAAAAUGUGUAUUUUGAGGAAGACAGCAGAGGUACCGGUAUUAUUUGAGAUUCUAGAUCGAAACAAGAAGCGAAAUUACAUGAGAAUGGACUGACAAAGACGGCGUUAUUGCUUGUGGUAGAUGCGCUCGAAUGAUAUAUGUAUGAAGGUUUUACCGCAGAGAACAGACAUCCAUUAUCGAACAAAUAUGUUAAUAAACUUUUGAAUGAAUAUACAUUAAAGCACUAGCGCCGCUACAUUGGUGCAGAUAACUUAACUACCAUCGAAAACGUUAGGGAUUUUUACAUAACUGUUAACAGCAUGCAGUCGACCAUCAAGGAAACACUAGACAUAACCUUUUUUGGCGCAAAAGGUCGUGCGAGUAUUAUAAACAAUAACAAAGGACUACCAGGAUUGACGGAUAGCGGUGUUCAUCUGUCGUGGAAAUUUACGUCCGUAUAAGGCUCCCUCAGUUGUUAAGAACGAAGGGAAUCAAGGGAGUUGAUAAAACUAAGGCUUUUCCAAUUGUUUCCUGAUAGAAAUUCUGAUUAUUAAUGCUUCAUCUUUUCGUUCACAGUAUCGAUCACUUGCUUGGGCCACAUCAGGUAAAAAUUAGUCGAUCGAUUGGAAGGAAUCGGAUUUCCGAAGACAGUGUAUUUACUGUGUAUAGUACUGUCGCGGAGCCACCAUGCAGGACGUCAAGGGAAGUAACUGGACUCAUCAAUUUUACCCGUUUCAGGCAGAUGAAUACCAAGACCACCCGAAACCGUGUCAUUUUAUAUUUCGGUGUUGAGCUUAUGAAGAAUAUUGUACAGCGAAACAAACGAAUUAUUCACUGAUAAAUAUUCUAU